AUUGAACGCUGGCGGCAUGCUUUACACAUGCAAGUCGAACGGCAGCGCGGGCUUCGGCCUGGCGGCGAGUGGCGAACGGGUGAGUAAUGCAUCGGAACGUGCCCAGUAGUGGGGGAUAGCGCGGGGAAAGGGGGAUUAAUACCGCAUACGACCUGAGGGUGAAAGCGGGGGACCGAAAGGCCUCGCGCUAUUGGAUCGGCCGAUGUCGGAUUAGCUAGUUGGUGGGGUAAAGGCCUACCAAGGCGACGAUCCGUAGCUGGUCUGAGAGGAUGACCAGCCACACUGGGACUGAGACACGGCCCAGACUCCUACGGGAGGCAGCAGUGGGGAAUUUUGGACAAUGGGGGCAACCCUGAUCCAGCCAUGCCGCGUGCGUGAAGAAGGCCUUCGGGUUGUAAACCGCUUUUGUUCGGGAAGAAAUCCUCUGGGCUAAUACCCCGGGGGGAUGACGUUACCGGAAGAAUAAGCACCGGCUAACUACGUG
rnacentral:rRNA from 1 species